UCCAAAGUCUGAACCUGCCUGUGCUUGCACAUGGGCAGGUGAUAGACCUUGGAACAUGCCCGGACAUGAGCAUAGAAGGGAAGCGUGAGCUUUCUGAUAUGCGAAUGGCAGAUAAAUUGUGAGAGUGCGAAGCACGGAACAAUUUAU
rnacentral:sRNA from 1 species